GAUGAACGCUGGCGGCAUGCUUUACACAUGCAAGUCGGACGGGAAGUGGUGUUUCCAGUGGCGGGCGGGUGAGUAACGCGUAAGAACCUGCCCUUGGGAGGGGAACAACAGCUGGAAACGGCUGCUAAUACCCCGUAGGCUGAGGAGCGAAGGGAGGAAUCCGCCCAAGGAGGGGCUCGCGUCUGAUUAGCUAGUUGGUGAGGUAAUAGCUUACCAAGGCCGUGAUCAGUAGCUGGUCCGAGAGGAUGAUCAGCCACACUGGGACUGAGACAAGGCCCAGACUCCUACGGGAGGCAGCAGUGGGGAAUUUUCCGCAAUGGGCGAAAGCCUGACGGAGCAAUGCCGCGUGGAGGUAAAAGGCCUACGGGUCAUGAACUUCUUUUCCUGGAGAAGAAACAAUGACGGUAUCUGGGGAAUAAGCAUCGGCUAACUCUGUG
rnacentral:rRNA from 1 species